CUAACAAGGAUUCUCCCAGUAACGGCGAGUGAACGGAGAAUAGCCCAGCACCGAAUCCUUCAGGGCCUCCCUGAUAGGACCUGUGGUGUGUAGGAGAGCCUAUCCGGCAUCGUUAACUCCUGAAGUCCCCUUGAGCGGGGCCACAGCCCAAAGCGGGUGCAAGGCCCAUACAGGAGAGAAUGGUGUCGGUCGGAGCCUCCACAGAGUCGGGUUGCUUGAGAGUGCAGCCCAAACGCGUGGUAAACCCCACGUAAGGCUAAAUAUGACCACGAGACCGAUAGCAAACAAGUACCGUGAGGGAAAGUUGCAAAGAACUUUGAAGAGAGAGUUCAAUAGGGCGUGAAACCGCUUAGACGCAAACGGGUGGAACUGCAAUGCAGUCUGUAGAAUUCAGCUUACUUUAAAGGGGGCGCCAUGUGACAGAUCGAUUGACUGCCUUCAUGGUUGCACUUCUGCAAGUGAGUGCAUUUUCUGCAGAUGAACGCCACGAUCAAUUACUGCGUCGGCUGAAGGUGGUUGAUUGCCGACUCAGAUUCGUCUGAGAGCCCCGUCAACCCAACUGGUCCAGAUUGCAGUGAUUGAACACAUGCCGCACCUGCAUGUCUCAUAGCGUAUUGGUUUUGGGUGGUUGAAAUUUUGCGUCCAGCAUGCUGGUCAUAGAGACUCCCAUCCAUAACUUUGUACGUGUUUGAGUCGGUGCUUAUGAUCAGUGGCGUCCGUGUCAGUGUCCCACCCGACCCGUCUUGAAACACGGACCAAGGAGUCUAACAUGUACGCAAGUCAUUGGGUGCUAAACCCAAAGGCGCAAUGAAAGUAAAGGCUAAUUUAUUUGGCUAAAGUGAGAUUCUCGGGCAACCGGGACGCAUCACUGUCCCGUCUUAUUCACAUUGCUGAAGAGGCGGAGAAAGAGCGUACACGUUGGGACCCGAAAGAUGGUGAACUAUGCCUGAGCAGGACGAAGCCAGAGGAAACUCUGGUGGAGGUCCGUAGCGGUUCUGACGUGCAAAUCGAUCGUCAGACUUGGGUAUAGGGGCGAA
rnacentral:rRNA from 1 species